AUGGAAAUCAAGGACAAGAAAGGAGCUGAAAAUGUUGUGGCAGAUCACUUGUCGAGAUUGCAAAACAAUGCAUUAGACUCCUUGGCAAUCAAUGAUGUUUCACCAGGGAUCAAUCUUAUGCAAGUGACUAGUAUACAAAACUAUACACCAUGGUACGCAGAUAUAGUUAAUUAUCUGGUCUGUAACAAAGUUCCUAUAGAUUUUGGGUAUCAAAAGAAGAAAAAAUUCCUAUCAGAUAUGAAGCACUUCUUUUGGGAUGAACCUUACUUAUUCAAGCAUUAUGCUGAUGGUAUUGUUCGAAGAUGCUUGUCGGAAGGUGAAACUAAAAGUGUGAUCUAUCAUUGCCAUUCAUCCCCUUAUGGAGGUCAUGCAAGUACUCGAAAGACUCAAGCAAAAAUUUUGCAAGCAUGA
rnacentral:rRNA from 1 species